UCGUUGCCGAUGUACUUUGUAUAGCUUAAUAUGUAUAAUUUCAUCAGAAUGAUACAGAUUGUAUCGUACCUAAGGAUAUAUCGUAAAUCCAACAUGUCUUUGUCGACUGAUGUUUGCUUCGAAUAACGAGAGGGACGUAAAGCAUGUUCGAGCCUCGAAUAAACGUAGAAAAACUGGCUUCCAAGUCUUGCGAGGUACGCUGCAAAGCUUUGUGUCAAAUUUGUUACAGUUUCCCACGGAUUAAUGGAUACUUUGGAUAAGUGUAUCCAUAAUUGCAGUACUAAAAGUUGACUUGCACUUUUAAACAUAUAGGCGAUGACUUGGAUCGCUAAAGUAAACUGCAUCGAAUUAAACGCCAUUAAAAUGUGGUGUACGUCGAGUAUACGUUAGUAGCGGAAAUGAUGGGAAUUCUAGGCACUGAUGCAUUCGAAUUUCAAGAUUUUUAUCUGGCGAGCUCUGUGUUUGGAAUCAUUGUUUUCAGGAAACGUAAGAAACGUAAGACGUGUUCGAACUUACUAUCAACCAAGUUGAGCCACCCGAACCAAACGUGCAAACGGUUUGGCCGGUUUUCGAGGUAGAGUUCAUCGAACCUUGGUUGCAAGGGAUUGAUCGUGUAUGGCUACUGAAGGUAUGUGCACAAACAAUCAUUGAUCUGUGACGCCCGGCCGCCUACAUAUUACUUACAUAUUAUCUAGUUCGAGCUCAAAUAGGACGCGCCGCUUAGAUCCAGAAACAAAACCUCUGUUAUCACUUUCAUCAGCUGCGAAUAAUUUUAUAAGCAAUUUCUAGGCCAAGGGAAUUGACCGUACCGUAAUGAAAAAGAAGACCGUGGAUCUGUCCGUGAGAGUAUUUGCCAUUUUUCAUAGUUUAAGAAUGUACAGAAACUCGUUAAACAUUUCUUCGAUCUUUCCUCAUCCACCGAGCCGUGUACUCGCCUCUUUCCUCUUCUUUGCAACCGAGAAGAACCGUCCCGGGACCAUUGUUAAAUCUUUUUCGAGGUUAUUACACGUACGAUAUGUAAAUGUGUCGCUGGGUCCGGUCCUCGACGUCGGAGGACCAGCUUCUUUCUUUUUCUUUCUUUCAUUCCGAUCCUUCUCUCUAUUUCUCUUUUAUUCCACACGGCUUCUUCUCUCAUCUUGUCAGGGGCGGAUCAGAUCGAAUCCGUCUCGAUAAAAUAGACCUGUUCACGAUAAUAAAGCCAGCCAAUUACAAUUCAUGAGAGGCAGGUCAAUUCAUUCGUCGAGAUGAUCUUCCGAAUUUCUUGCUUCUUACUGCAACUAUUCUAUAUAUAUGAAAUAAUGUUUCUUUAUUAGACCUCUAAAUAUCGUAUACCUAUUUAUACUGUAUUCACUAUAAUUAUACCAUAUUUCAUUACAUGUAUAAUUU